rnacentral:rRNA from 1 species
AUUGAACGCUGGCGGCAGGUUUAACACAUGCAAGUCGAGCGAGCGGCGGACGGGUGAGUAAUGUCUGGGAAACUGCCUGAUGGAGGGGGAUAACUACUGGAAACGGUAGCUAAUACCGCAUACCAUCAGAUGUGCCCAGGUGGGAUUAGCUAGUAGGUGGGGUGAUGGCGCUCCUAGGCGACGAUCCCUAGCUGGUCUGAGAGGCUGACCGGCCACACUGGGACUGAGACACGGUCCAGACUCCUACGGGAGGCAGCAGUGGGGAAUAUUGGACAAUGGGCGCAAGCCUGAGGCAGCCAUGCCGCGUGUGUGAAGAAGGCCUUCGGGUUGUAAAGCACUUUCAGCGGGGAGGCGUUAAUGGAAGAAGAAGCACCGGCUAACUCCGUGCCAGCAGCCGCGGUAAUUC